AUUGAACGCUGGCGGAAUGCUUUACACAUGCAAGUCGAACGGUAGAGGGGGCAACCCCUCGAGAGUGGCGAACGGGUGAGUAAUAUAUCGGAACGUGCCCAGUCGUGGGGGAUAACGUAGCGAAAGUUACGCUAAUACCGCAUACGAUCUACGGAUGAAAGCGGGGGACUCGCAAGAGCCUCGCGCGAUUGGAGCGGCCGAUAUCAGAUUAGGUAGUUGGUGGGGUAAAGGCUCACCAAGCCAACGAUCUGUAGCUGGUCUGAGAGGACGACCAGCCACACUGGAACUGAGACACGGUCCAGACUCCUACGGAGGCAGCAGUGGGGAAUUUUGGACAAUGGGCGCAAGCCUGAUCCAGCAAUGCCGCGUGCAGGAAGAAGGCCUC
rnacentral:rRNA from 1 species